ACUUAAAUAAGCUAUAUAAGCUGUUGGGCUCAUAACCCAAAAAAGAGUUUAAUCUUUAAGUG
rnacentral:tRNA from 1 species